GGGGAAUAUUGCACAAUGGGGGAAACCCUGAUGCAGCAACGCCGCGUGAGUGAAGAAGUAUUUCGGUAUGUAAAGCUCUAUCAGCAGGGAAGAUAAUGACGGUACCUGACUAAGAAGCUCCGGCUAAAUACGUGCCAGCAGCCGCGGUAAUACGUAGGUGGCAAGCGUUGUCCGGAAUUACUGGGUGUAAAGGGAGCGUAGGCGGGAUGCCAAGUCAGCUGUGAAAACUAUGGGCUUAACUUGUAGACUGCAGUUGAAACUGGUAUUCUUGAGUGAAGUAGAGGUUGGCGGAAUUCCGAGUGUAGCGGUGAAAUGCGUAGAUAUUCGGAGGAACACCGGUGGCGAAGGCGGCCAACUGGGCUUUAACUGACGCUGAGGCUCGAAAGUGUGGGGAGCAAACAGGAUUAGAUACCCUGGUAGUCCACGCUGUAAACGAUGAUUACUAGGUGUGGGGGGUCUGACCCCUUCCGUGCCGGAGUUAACACAAUAAGUAAUCCACCUGGGGAGUACGGCCGCAAGGUUGAAACUCAAAGGAAUUGACGGGGGCCCGCACAAGCAGUGGAGUAUGUGGUUUAAUUCGAAGCAACGCGAAGAACCUUACCAGGGCUUGACAUCCUACUAACGAGAUAGAGAUAUGUUAGGUGCCCUUCGGGGAAAGUAGAGACAGGUGGUGCAUGGUUGUCGUCAGCUCGUGUCGUGAGAUGUUGGGUUAAGUCCCGCAACGAGCGCAACCCUUGCUAUUAGUUGCUACGCAAGAGCACUCUAAUAGGACUGCCGUUGACAAAACGGAGGAAGGUGGGGACGACGUCAAAUCAUCAUGCCCCUUAUGACCUGGGCUACACACGUACUACAAUGGAUGUUAACAGAGGGAAGCAAGACAGCGAUGUGGAGCAAACCCCUAAAAACAUUCUCAGUUCAGAUUGCAGGCUGCAACCCGCCUGCAUGAAGAUGGAAUUGCUAGUAAUCGCGGAUCAGCAUGCCGCGGUGAAUACGUUCCCG
rnacentral:rRNA from 1 species